rnacentral:tRNA from 1 species
ACCUGGUUGGCUCAGUCGGUAGAGCACAUGACUCCUGAUCUCAGGGUUGUGAGUUUGAGUCCCAUGUUGGGUA